UACGGAGGGUGCAAGCGUUGUCCGGAUUUAUUGGGUUUAAAGGGUGCGUAGGCGGCCCGUUAAGUCAGUGGUGAAAGCCUCCAGCUCAACUGGAGAACUGCCAUUGAUACGGACGGGCUUGAGUACAGACGAGGUUGGCGGAAUUGAUUGUGUAGCGGUGAAAUGCAUAGAUAUCUGGAGGAACACCAGUGGCGAAGGCGGCUCUCUGGACUGUAACUGACGCUGAGGCGCGAAAGCGUGGGGAGCAAACAGG
rnacentral:rRNA from 1 species